GAAUAUAGCUUAGUGGUAGAGCACUUGCCUAGCAUGUGCAAAACCCUGGGUUUGAUACCCAGUAAAAUACA
rnacentral:tRNA from 1 species